UUGAGACAUUUAUUUAAAUACAUCAAGAGCCUACCACGUAUGUCUGUGAGAUAUUUCCCUCACGGACAGGUAGCUAUCUGUUGAAAAACACGUAAAGCCCUGGAUCUGUGAGGAUUUUUGGUUGGUUUCACUCCCUGUUGGGGUUUUCUCUGAAGUGGUCUCUUGGUCUUGGUACAUGAUGUUUCUGGUGUAUAGCUCUUUUAAGUGAAUGUACAUUCUGACGCAUAUAUUAUAAAAGUCAACUUUUCACCGGAGGCAUGUGUUUCUAGGCACAAUCUGGGGUUUGGAAAUAGUUAGGGCUACAUGCUGGAAGUGAGGCCAGCUUUCUGUGGCAUGCUGCCACAUCUUUUUUGAUUAGGAAGUUAACAGCUGGAUAACUUCUGAAAACAGGAAGGUAUGACAGCAAAACUUUAUUUCAAUUAAAUAGCUCCCAUAUAAACACAGGAAUUCCACUGUCAUCCCCACUUCUUAUCCUCAGCAGGUUUUGCAAGGACAGACUGGCUGGGUGACAGGUCCAGUGGCUCUGUGCUAGCCACAGGUCGCUGUGAGCAGGUCUCUUACCUAGUUCAGCUGGCAGCUGAAAGAAAUAAUCUGAAAAGUCACAUCACAUUCAGUUUUAGCAGAAUUUACUAUUCCUCUGUGGAACUAGUGAUUCGAAAAAAAGUUUUCAUGGAGACCUAAGGAAAAGCUUCCAACACAGGAAUUGUCUUGUACACAAAAUGGCUGCCAGCUCCCCUCACUGCCAGUGGUUUGGAAUCAACAAAAUGGCCACCCUCUCCCCUCACAGUGUGCAAGAACAGGCAGAAGAGAGGAUUAGAAAAAUAAAGGAAAAGGAAGCAAGGAAAGAGACAGAAACAAGUAUUCUGCUGAAGGAAUUCAUCUGACUGAGGACGCUAAAUGAGCUGCUGCAAGGAAGCUGAGUAAAGACAGAGAUGGAAAGUGGUUUGAAUGCCUCUGAAUGAAGAUAUGCCAAAGGGAGCCUGUCCAUAGCAGGCAUUAUCUUUAUAUAUGCUUAUAUAUAUAUGGCCGCUUCCCAUAUAUAUAUAAUU